rnacentral:rRNA from 1 species
CGUUGGAAGAUUGAGAGGGGUUGCUCCUAGUACGAGAGGACCGGAGUGAACGCACCACUGGUGUUCGGGUUGUCAUGCCAAUGGCAUUGCCCGGUAGCUAAGUGCGGAAAAGAUAAGCGCUGAAAGCAUCUAAGCGCGAAACUUGCCUCAAGAUGAGUCUUCCCUGGGCCUUUAAGGCCCCUGAAGGAACGUUUAAGACUAAGACGUUGAUAGGCUGGGUGUGUAAGUGCAGCGAUGCAUUGAGCUAACCAGUACUAAUGAUCCGUGAGGCUUAACCUUACAACACCGAAGGUGUUU